UGGAGUCUGCAACCCGACUCCACGAAGUUGGAUUCGCUAGUAAUCGCGCAUCAGCCAUGGCGCGGUGAAUACGUUCCCGGGCCUUGUACACACCGCCCGUCAAGCCAUGGGAGCCGGGGGCGCCUGAAGUCCGGGACCGCGAGGACCGGCCUAGGGCGAAACUGGUAACUGGGGCUAAGUCGUAACAAGGUAGC
rnacentral:rRNA from 1 species